GAUGAAGAACGUAGCGAAAUGCGAUACGUAAUGUGAAUUGCAGAAUUCAGUGAAUCAUCGAAUCUUUGAACGCAUAUUGCGCUCUCUGGUAUUCCGGAGAGCAUGCUUGUUUGAGUAUCAGUAAACACCUCAACUUCCAUAUCUUUUUUGAAAUGGGAGUUGGACUUGAGUGAUCCCAACGCUUUUCCUCACCGAAAAGUGGCGGGUUACUUGAAAUGCAGGUGCAGCUGGCCUUUUCUCUGAGCUAUAAGCAUAUCUAUUUAGUCUGCCUAAAAAACAGAUUAUUACCUUUGCUGCAGCUAACAUAAAGGAGAUUAGUUCUUGUGCUGACUGAUGCAGGAUUCACAAAGACAGGCUUCGGCCGACUUUGUAAACUCGAUCUCAAAUCAAGUAAGACUACCCGCUGAACUUAAGCAUAUCAAUAAGCGGAGGA
rnacentral:misc_RNA from 1 species